GGACCCGUGGUGUAGCCUGGCCUAACACGCGUCCCUGUCAAGGACGAGAUCGCCGGUCCGAAUCCGGUCGGGUCCG
rnacentral:tRNA from 2 species